rnacentral:piRNA from 1 species
UCCACCUAGAGAUACAUUUGAUUUACAGC